CUAAAUUUUUAGAUAAGUAGUAAAACAUUUAAAUGCUGCCAGCUGUAUUAAAAUAGUGCAAAGCUUUGACGUUUUGUACAGAACUCGGUUGAAACUACGUCGAAUAACGUUACCAUUGCUAAAGUCAAAACCGAACACUACAUGCGUAACGUCAAUACCAUACUAUAACGUUAUGGACAGAAUCAGAGCUUAACUUUAUCUGCAAACGACUUUAAUGAUCAGCAAAAUCAAAUUUAAGUUAACAUUAUAUAACUAGCGAAAUCAAUUUACUAGGUUAACAAUAUAUAUAAUAUUUAUGUAAUCCCACGA
rnacentral:lncRNA from 1 species